AGAGUUUGAUCAUGGCUCAGAACGAACGCUGGCGGCAGGCUUAACACAUGCAAGUCGAACGCCCCGCAAGGGGAGUGGCAGACGGGUGGGUAACACGUGGGAACGUACCUUUCGGUUCGGAAUAACUCAGGGAAACUUGAGCUAAUACCGGAUACGUCCGCAAGGAGAAAGAUUUAUUGCCGAAAGAUCGGCCCGCGUAGGAUUAGCUAGUUGGUGAGGUAAUGGCUCACCAAGGCGACGAUCCUUAGCUGGUCUGAGAGGAUGAUCAGCCACACUGGGACUGAGACACGGCCCAGACUCCUACGGGAGGCAGCAGUGGGGAAUAUUGGACAAUGGGCGAAAGCCUGAUCCAGCCAUGCCGCGUGAAUGAUGAAGGCCUUAGGGUUGUAAAGUUCUUUCAACGGUGAAGAUAAUGACGGUAACCGUAGAAGAG
rnacentral:rRNA from 1 species